CCUACGGGGGGCAGCAGUGAGGAAUAUUGGUCAAUGGGCGCGAGCCUGAACCAGCCAAGUAGCGUGAAGGAUGACUGCCCUACGGGUUGUAAACUUCUGUUAUAAAGGAAUAAAGUGAGGCACGUGUGCCUUUUUGUAUGUACCUUAUGAAUAAGGAUCGGCUAACUCCGUGCCAGCAGCCGCGGUAAUACGGAGGAUCCGAUCGUUAUCCGGAUUUAUUGGGGUUAAAGGGAGCGUAGAUGGGUUGUUAAGUAAGUUGUGAAAGUUUGGGGCUCAACCGUAAAAUUGCAAUUGUUACUGGCAGUCUUGAGUACAGUUGCGGUCGGCGGAAUUCGUUGUGUAGCUGUGAAAUGCUUCGAUAUCACGAAGAACUCCGAUUGCGAAGGCAGCUUACUAAACUGCCACUGACAUUGAUGCUCGACAGUGUGGGUAUCAAACAGGAUUAGAUACCCUAGUAGUC
rnacentral:rRNA from 1 species